UGCGUAGGCGGCAUCGUAAGUCAGGAGUGAAAUCCCACGGCUCAACUGUGGAACUGCUUUUGAUACUGCGAUGCUUGAAUUAGGUUGAGGUCAGCGGAAUGUGACAUGUAGCGGUGAAAUGCAUAGAUAUGUCAUAGAACACCAAUUGCGAAGGCAGCUGGCUAGACCUACAUUGACGCUGAGGCACGAAAGCGUGGGGAGCGAACAGGAUUAGAUACCCUGGUAGUC
rnacentral:rRNA from 1 species